rnacentral:rRNA from 1 species
AACGUAGGACACAAGCGUUAUCCGGAGUUACUGGGCGUAAAGGGCGCGUAGGCGGCGCUCCAAGUUAGGCGUGAAAGUCCUGGGCUCAACCUGGGAACUGCGCUUGAUACUGGAGUGCUUGAGGAUGGAAGAGGGUUGUGGAAUUCCCAGUGUAGAGGUGAAAUUCGUAGAUAUUGGGAAGAACACCGGUGGCGAAGGCGGCAACCUGGUCCAUUACUGACGCUGAGGCGCGACAGCGUGGGGAGCAAACAGG